AACGAACGUUGGCGGCGUGGAUUAGGCAUGCAAGUCGAACGAAGCAAGCUGGGCAACUGGCUUGACUGAGUGGCGAAAGGGGCAGUAAGGCGUGGAUAACCUACCCUCCGGGCCGGGAUAGCUUCGGGAAACUGAAGGUAAUACCGGGCGACGCAGCGAGAUCGCAUGGUCUUGCUGCCAAAGGUCCGCCGCCGGGGGAGGGGUUCACGUGAUAUUAGCUUGUUGGCGGGGUAACGGCCCACCAAGGCAAAGAUGUCUAGCAGGUGUGAGAGCACGACCUGCGCCACUGGCACUGAGACACUGGCCAGACACCUACGGGUGGCUGCAGUCGAGGAUCUUCGGCAAUGGGCGCAAGCCUGACCGAGCGACGCCGCGUGUGCGAUGAAGGCCUUCGGGUUGUAAAGCACUGUCGAGGGGGAGGAAGCCGCAAGGUUGACCUAUCCCUGGAGGAAGCACGGGCUAAGUUCGUGCCAGCAGCCGCCGUAA
rnacentral:rRNA from 1 species